UUUGUGUAUUUCCUCUCAGGGGCCGUUCCCCAGUGACUCCAGCUGUUAUAUAGGACACAUUGUUCAGGUGACAUCUCUAUGGUCUGUGCCUGUCACUCCAGAGACAUAAAGAUGGCUUCUCAGGGGCUUCUGCUGUGUGUCCUACUGAUCUCUAUCCAUGGAUCCUGUGGAGAGAUUGUACUGACCCAAUCUCCAGAUUAUACCUCUGUGUCCCCAGGAGAUACAGUAGACAUCUCAUGUACAACCAGUCAAGGUGUAAGCAAUGUUAUAGCCUGGUACCAACAGAAACCAGGAGAACGGCCAAGUCUUCUUAUCUAUAGUACAAGCAG